rnacentral:rRNA from 1 species
UACGGAGGGAGCUAGCGUUGUUCGGAAUUACUGGGCGUAAAGCGCACGUAGGCGGCUUUGUAAGUUAGAGGUGAAAGCCUGGGGCUCAACCCCAGAAUUGCCUUUAAGACUGCAUCGCUUGAAUCCAGGAGAGGUGAGUGGAAUUCCGAGUGUAGAGGUGAAAUUCGUAGAUAUUCGGAAGAACACCAGUGGCGAAGGGCGGC